AGAGUUUGAUCCUGGCUCAGAGCGAACGCUGGCGGCAGGCCUAAAACAUGCAAGUCGAACGCCGUAGCAAUACGGAGUGGCAGACGGGUGAGUAACACGUGGGAACGUGCCUUUUGGUUCGGAACAACCCAGGGAAACUUGGGCUAAUACCGGAUAAGCCCUUCGGGGGAAAGAUUUAUCGCCAGAAGAUCGGCCCGCGUCUGAUUAGCUAGUUGGUGGGGUAACGGCCCACCAAGGCUACGAUCAGUAGCUGGUCUGAGAGGAUGAUCAGCCACACUGGGACUGAGACACGGCCCAGACUCCUACGGGAGGCAGCAGUUAGGAAUCUUGGACAAUGGGCGCAAGCCUGAUCCAGCCAUGCCGCGUGAGUGAUGAAGGCCUUAGGGUUGUAAAGCUCUUUCAGCGGGGAAGAUAAUGACGGUACCCGCAGAAGAAGCCCCGGCUAACUUCGUG
rnacentral:rRNA from 1 species